CAGCCGCCGCGGUAGUACGUAGGUGGCAAGCGUUGUCCGGAAUUAUUGGGCGUAAAGGGCUCGCAGGCGGUUUCUUAAGUCUGAUGUGAAAGCCCCCGGCUCAACCGGGGAGGGUCAUUGGAAACUGGGAAACUUGAGUGCAGAAGAGGAGAGUGGAAUUCCACGUGUAGCGGUGAAAAGCGUAGAGAUGUGGAGGAACACCAGUGGCGAAGGUGACUCUCUGGUCUGUAACUGACGCUGAGGAGCGAAAGCGUGGGGAGCGAACAGGAUUAGAUACCCCCGUAGUCCCUGUCUCUUAUAC
rnacentral:rRNA from 1 species